UCAAGUGAGAAACCUUGAGAAAUAGAGAAGAAAGAGUUAGGAAGAAAUCUUUAGUUGCAAGAAGAGUAGAGCCUUUAGAGGGUUUUCGGGGAAAACAAAUUCGGAGCAAGAGAAGUUUGGAAUAGAGGCACCGUAGAAGCACUUCUGGCGUCAAGGGCUUCAGUUUGAACCGAUAGGUUUCGAGUUCUGAACUGUUUUUGAAGAACUGUUGAGCGUUGAGGGUAGAAGGAAUUUUAGUCAGACAAACCUUAAUUCUGCCUCUAGGAACGUUCGUUCACGCUCAGAGAAGGAGACGAGUUGCUGAAAGAGGCGCUGGAGGAAGAAAACCUAGUUGAGGUUGAAGUUAAGACCGAACAGUAGGACGUUCGGUCAGUAGUUUAGUUUUAUAGUGAGGUGGUCGUUCGAUCACCUUCCCCUUUUGAUUUGUAUGACCGUCCGGUAUUUGGCUUUUAUAAACCGUUCGGUCAGAAGUGUACCCUUGUAUAGUUGAAUUUUCUCACACUACUUGAUAAGGCCGUUCGGCCAUAACCGUACGUUCUCCUUAGUGUAAGACUGAUCUAAAUUA